rnacentral:rRNA from 1 species
GUCGCGGGCGUAGGAGAUUGGAGAGGAUCUGCUCCUAGUACGAGAGGAGCAGAGUGGACGUACCGCUGGUGUGCCAGUUGUCUUGCCAAAGGCAUGGCUGGGUCGCUAUGUAGGGAAGAGAUAAACGCUGAAAGUAACAAAGUGUGAAACCCACCAGAAGAUGGGAUUGCCCGUGGUUAUAGAUCAGAAAGAGGCCGGAGGGAUGAUCAGAUAGAUAGGUUAGAAGUGGAAGUGUGGCGACACAUGUAGCGGACUAAUACUAAUAGCUCGAGGACUUAUCCAAA